CUAGAGUUUCUCUCUCAUCAAACCCAACGAAUCGGAACAAAUUUCAAUUUAAAUCACUGAAAAAUUGCUUCAAAAUACUCCAAAAUUGCUUCAAAUGUCUGAUAUUCGAGAAGAAAUUAAACAAUCACAACAAAAAGAGUAAGUAAUUUCGUUAGUUUUGUUCAUUUUUUGAGAUUGUAGUGCAAUUUUAUGUGUGAAACCUUAAUUUUGUUCAUUUUGUUGCGAUUGUAGUGCGAUUUUGCAAAAAAACCACUACAGAGAAGAACAUGCAAGAAGAAACUGCAAAAUCGGAGCAAAAUGUAUCUAAAGAUAUGAUUUUGGAGAAGAAUACUUCAGAGACGAGUAAUUUGUUGAAAA